CCUACGGGUGGCAGCAGUGGGGAAUAUUGGGCAAUGGGCGCAAGCCUGACCCAGCAACGCCGCGUGAAGGAAGAAGGCCCUCGGGUUGUAAACUUCUUUUAUCAAGGACGUAACAUAUGACGGUACUUGAUGAAUAAGCCACGGCUAACUACGUGCCAGCAGCCGCGGUAAUACGUAGGUGGCAAGCGUUAUCCGGAUUUACUGGGUGUAAGGGGUGUGUAGGCGGGACUGCAAGUCAGAUGUGAAAACCAUGGGCUCAACCCAUGGCCUGCAUUUGAAACUGUAGUUCUUGAGUGUAGGAGAGGCAGGCGGAAUUCGGGGUGUAGCGGUGAAAUGCGUAGAUAUACGGAGGAACACCGAUUGCGAAGGCAGCUUACUAAACUGUGACUGACAUUGAUGCUCGAAAGUGUGGGUAUCAAACAGGAUUAGAUACCCGAGUAGUC
rnacentral:rRNA from 1 species